AGAGUUUGAUCAUGGCUCAGGAUGAACGCUGGCGGCGUGCCUAACACAUGCAAGUCGAGCGAUUCUCUUCGGAGAAGAGCGGCGGACGGGUGAGUAACGCGUGGGUAACCUGCCCUGUACACACGGAUAACAUACCGAAAGGUAUGCUAAUACGGGAUAAUAUAUGAAAGUCGUAUGGCUUUUGUAUCAAAGCUUUUGCGGUACAGGAUGGACCCGCGUCUGAUUAGCUAGUUGGUGAGGUAAUAGCUCACCAAGGCGACGAUCAGUAGCCGACCUGAGAGGGUGAUCGGCCACACUGGAACUGAGACACGGUCCAGACUCCUACGGGAGGCAGCAGUGGGGAAUAUUGCACAAUGGGCGAAAGCCUGAUGCAGCAACGCCGCGUGAGCGAUGAAGGCCUUCGGGUCGUAAAGCUCUGUCCUCAAGGAAGAUAAUGACGGUACUUGAGGAGGAAGCCCCGGCUAACUACGUGCCAGCAGCCGCGGUA
rnacentral:rRNA from 1 species